rnacentral:rRNA from 1 species
CUACGGGUGGCUCCAGUGAGGAAUAUUGCACAAUGGGGGGAACCCUGAUGCAGCAACGCCGCGUGGAGGAUGACGCAUUUCGGUGUGUAAACUCCUUUUAUAUGUCAAGAAAAUGACGGUAGCAUAUGAAUAAGCACCGGCUAACUCCGUGCCAGCAGCCGCGGUAAUACGGAGGGUGCAGGCGUUACUCGGAAUCACUGGGCGUAAAGGACGCGUAGGCGGGUUGGAAAGUCAGGUGUGAAAUCCUACAGCUUAACUGUAGAACUGCACUUGAAACUUCUAAUCUAGAGUAUGGGAGGGGGAGAUGGAAUUAGUGGUGUAGGGGUAAAAUCCGUAGAUAUCACUAGGAAUACCUAAAGCGAAGGCGAUCUCCUGGAACAUUACUGACGCUAAGGCGUAAAAGCGUGGGGAGCAAACAGGAUUAGAUACCCGAGUAGUC